UGCAAGUCGAACGGUAACAGGUCUUCGGAUGCUGACGAGUGGCGAACGGGUGAGUAAUACAUCGGAACGUGCCUAGUAGUGGGGGAUAACUACUCGAAAGAGUAGCUAAUACCGCAUGAGAUCUACGGAUGAAAGCAGGGGAUCGCAAGACCUUGUGCUACUAGAGCGGCUGAUGGCAGAUUAGGUAGUUGGUGGGGUAAAGGCUCACCAAGCCAACGAUCUGUAGCUGGUCUGAGAGGACGACCAGCCACACUGGAACUGAGACACGGCCCAGACUCCUACGGGAGGCAGCAGUGGGGAAUUUUGGACAAUGGGCGAAAGCCUGAUCCAGCAAUGCCGCGUGCAGGAUGAAGGCCCUCGGGUUGUAAACUGCUUUUGUACGGAACGAAAAGCUCUGGGCUAAUAUCCCGGAGUCAUGACGGUACCGUAAGAAUAAGCACCGGCUAACUACGUGCCAGCAGCCGCGGUAAUACGUAGGGUGCAAGCGUUAAUCGGAAUUACUGGGCGUAAAGCGUGCGCAGGCGGUUAUGUAAGACAGAGGUGAAAUCCCCGGGCUCAACCUGGGAACUGCCUUUGUGACUGCAUGGCUAGAGUACGGUAGAGGGGGAUGGAAUUCCGCGUGUAGCAGUGAAAUGCGUAGAUAUGCGGAGGAACACCGAUGGCGAAGGCAAUCCCCUGGACCUGUACUGACGCUCAUGCACGAAAGCGUGGGGAGCAAACAGGAUUAGAUACCCUGGUAGUCCACGCCCUAAACGAUGUCAACUGGUUGUUGGGUCUUAACUGACUCAGUAACGAAGCU
rnacentral:rRNA from 1 species